GACGUCUUCAGGGCUGUCGACUGGGACGACAGGAGAGUGCGACACACCUUCAUCCGCAAGGUCUACACCAUCAUCUCUCUCCAGCUGCUGGUGACGGUGGGCAUCAUCGCCGUCUUCACCUUCGUCUCCCCCGUUCGCACCUUUGUGCAGAGGAACUUUGCCAUUUACUACGCCUCUUAUGCUGUGUUCCUGGUGACCUACCUGGUGCUGGCCUGCUGCCCGGGGCCCCGGUGAGUGUCUCCAUCACCACUAGGGAACAGAGGGUGCAGCCCCUCCCUCCGAGGCGCCCCUCUGACUCAGAGUCCCCUGGGCGCCUGGCAAUGGGUGGGGGACUGGGGACUGGCUCCAUCCCCCAGGGGAGAUGAGAUAAGGCAGGG
rnacentral:lncRNA from 1 species